AUAAUCAAAUGCUGUUAUGUAUUAUUCUUAUCAUGUAAUAAAUGAAGAUAUUACUCUCAGUAACCCACAAUUGUUGUUAAAAAAUAAAGGAGAUUCAUCAUUUCUUCUGCAUUGAUACCAAACAACAAGAACUGCAGUUUCAUUAGAUACUUUUAAUAGUGGUAAACAUUUGUCUACCCAUCAAAGCAGAUGAAUUAAGAAGUCUGCUUGAAUGAGGGACUGUUCUAUAAUUCAAAAGUAUGCAGCUCAAAAUUUACUAGACACCUGCUUCACUCCUUCAGCCAAAAUGAUUGGACUCAGUUCUAUAAAUAUUGAAUACUGUAUGAAGAUCUUUGCAACCAAAUCAAAAGAGUCUUCAAUUUUUUAUUUUACUUUAUGCUGAAGGCCCAGAAGACCCCUGUAGAAGCUUAACUAAAAGUCUAUGUGAAUGGUAGCUUUUUGGCUAAUAAUAAAUAACACCCAUGCCUGCAUGGAAAACGGAUGUUAAACGAUAAUGAUAAUGAUGAUGAUGAUGAUGAGUAAUA